rnacentral:rRNA from 1 species
GACGAACGCUGGCGGCGUGCUUAACACAUGCAAGUCGAACGGUAAGGCCCUUCGGGGUACACGAGUGGCGAACGGGUGAGUAACACGUGGGUGAUCUGCCCUGCACUUCGGGAUAAGCCUGGGAAACUGGGUCUAAUACCGGAUAGGACCACUGCCUGCAUGGGUGGUGGUGGAAAGCUAUUGCGGUGUGGGAUGGGCCCGCGGCCUAUCAGCUUGUUGGUGAGGUGGUGGCCUACCAAGGCGACGACGGGUAGCCGGCCUGAGAGGGAGAACGGGCACACUGGGGAUGAGAUACGGCCCAGACUCCUACGGGAGGCAGCAGUGGGGAAUAUUGCACAAUGGGCGCAAGCCUGAUGCAGCGACGCCGCGUGAGGGAUGACGGCCUUCGGGUUGUAAACCUCUUUCAGCACCGACGAAGCGCAAGUGACGGUAGGUGCAGAAGAAGGACCGGCCAACUACGUGCCAGCCGCCGCAGUAA